rnacentral:pre_miRNA from 1 species
UUGGAGGAUUUGAAGACGUCAUCUUGCAUACUUGGAGGAUUUGAAGACUUAAACUUGCAUAUUUGGAGGAUUUGAAGAUUUCAACU